UACGAAGGGGGCUAGCGUUGUUCGGAAUUACUGGGCGUAAAGCGCACGUAGGCGGUUCGUUAAGUCAGGGGUGAAAUCCCGGAGCUCAACUCCGGAACUGCCUUUGAUACUGGCGAUCUAGAGUCCGGGAGAGGUGAGUGGAACUGCGAGUGUAGAGGUGAAAUUCGUAGAUAUUCGCAAGAACACCAGUGGCGAAGGCGGCUCACUGGCCCGGUACUGACGCUGAGGUGCGAAAGCGUGGGGAGCAAACAGG
rnacentral:rRNA from 1 species